UCGAUCCAGUCAGGAUCGGGUUCGGAGACGGCUCGCGAAACGAGGACCGGAUCGGGCGUCGCUCGGGUUCGGACAACAAUGCGAUGACGAGCGGCCGUGGGAUCGAGCGAGCCGACGAUCAGAAAGUAUUUGUCGUCCGGGCGAGUCGUGGACACGACGCAAUCGCAGUGACCAUCCUGAACCGUCAACGGAAUCAGCUCGACAUCCUCGGCCAACGCAAGCGGGGCAAGGCAGAGAAGCACGCCGACCCAGAGGCCAGUCGGGACCAGGUUACCCCGUCGUGCGUCCAUGCCGCGACUUCUCCGGAAGCCUGUGAGACCCGACGUUCCGCAGCACCCGGCGUUGACCGCAACGGGGCCUGCUUCUCAAAUCGGCGUGACUUACCCUGGUUCUUGAGAUAACGAAAAAUGGAGACGCGACAGGUUUGUCAGGCCGGCGGCGUCUUCCGCCUGUGCGGGUCGUGCGGUAUAUUGAUGGGAUCAAACGGACCCCUGGCCCCUCAACCGCGAUCACCAUCAUGGCCGUCAACCUCACACCGCAGUAUCACGAAGCCGAGGCCGAGUACAAAAAGGCUCAAACCGCCGACGAGCGCCUCGCCGCCCUUCAGAAGAUGUGGAAGGAAGUCCCCAAGCAUAAAGCCAGCGAGAAGCUCCAGGCCGAGCUCAAGAAGAAAAUCAGCGAGUGUAAGGACGAGCUGGAGCACGACAAGAAGAGCCCAAAAAAAGGCGGCGUCAGCUACAAGGUUCCCAAACAAGGAGCCGGCCAGUACGUCAUCGUCGGCGCGCCGAACGCGGGCAAGAGUCGGCUGCUGACGCGCCUGACCCGUGCGACGCCCGACGUCGCGGCCUAUCCGUUCACGACGCGCGAGCCGCACGUCGGCAUGAUGGACUGGGAGGACGCACGGGUACAACUCAUCGACUUGCCGCCGAUCACCGCCGACUUCAUGGAGAGCUACAUCUCCAGCAUGGUCCGCUCCGCCGACGCCGCCCUAUUGAUGGUCGAUCUCGGCGACGAUGACGGGCCGUUUGGUGCCGAGACCGUCGUCGAACGACUCGCCCAGACGAAGACGCUCCUGGUCGGCGAGGUGCCGCACGAUGAGGAAGACUUCAGCAUCGCGCACGUCAAGACGCUGCUGGUCGCCAACAAGAUCGACGCCGACGGCGCGGCGGACCGGCUCGACAUUCUCAAGGAGAUGAUCGGGU
rnacentral:misc_RNA from 1 species